AAACUCAAAGGAAUUGACGGGGGCCCGCACAAGCGGCGGAGCAUGUGGAUUAAUUCGAUGCAACGCGAAGAACCUUACCUGGGCUUGACAUACACCGGACCGGGCCAGAGAUGGUCCUUCCCUUGUGGCCGGUGUACAGGUGGUGCAUGGUUGUCGUCAGCUCGUGUCGUGAGAUGUUGGGUUAAGUCCCGUAACGAGCGCAACCCUUGUCUUAUGUUGCCAGCACGUCAUGGUGGGGACUCAUGAGAGACUGCCGGGGUCAACUCGGAGGAAG
rnacentral:rRNA from 1 species